rnacentral:rRNA from 1 species
GUGAGCAACCUGCCCUGGACUCUGGGAUAAGCGCUGGAAACGGCGUCUAAUACUGGAUAUGAGCCCCUAUCGCAUGGUGGGGGUUGGAAAGAUUUUUUGGUCUGGGAUGGGCUCGCGGCCUAUCAGCUUGUUGGUGAGGUAAUGGCUCACCAAGGCGUCGACGGGUAGCCGGCCUGAGAGGGUGACCGGCCACACUGGGACUGAGACACGGCCCAGACUCCUACGGGAGGCAGCAGUGGGGAAUAUUGCACAAUGGGCGAAAGCCUGAUGCAGCAACGCCGCGUGAGGGAUGACGGCCUUCGGGUUGUAAACCUCUUUUAGCAGGGAAGAAGCGAAAGUGACGGUACCUGCAGAAAAAGCGCCGGCUAACUACGUGCCAGCAGCCGCGGUAAUACGUAGGGCGCAAGCGUUAUCC